rnacentral:rRNA from 1 species
CCUACGGGAGGCAGCAGUGGGGAAUUUUGGACAAUGGGGGCAACCCUGAUCCAGCCAUUCCGCGUGAGUGAAGAAGGCCUUCGGGUUGUAAAGCUCUUUCGCAAGGGAAGAAAACUUAUGAUCGAAUAAAUCAUGAGGUUGACGGUACCUUGAUAAGAAGCACCGGCUAACUACGUGCCAGCAGCCGCGGUAAU